UACAGAGGUGGCAAGCGUUGUUCGGAAUUACUGGGCGUAAAGCGUGCGCAGGCGGUUGUGCAAGACAGAUGUGAAAUCCCCGGGCUUAACCUGGGAACUGCAUUUGUGACUGCACGGCUAGAGUGCGGCAGAGGGGGAUGGAAUUCCGCGUGUAGCAGUGAAAUGCGUAGAUAUGCGGAGGAACACCGAUGGCGAAGGCAAUCCCCUGGGCCUGCACUGACGCUCAUGCACGAAAGCGUGGGGAGCAAACAGG
rnacentral:rRNA from 1 species